rnacentral:tRNA from 1 species
GCCUUCGUGAUGUAACGGUCAGCACACUCGGCUUGUAUUCGAGGAGUUCGAGGUUCGAGUCCUGGCGAGGGCA